UUACACUCUGUCUGAUGGUUAGACGAGUAGGUCAAGUUGUAAUGAGUAGCGCUGAUGUUCCAAUAAGUUGCUCUAACAUUAUUCUUGUUAUGCGCAAGCGCAAGUUCGGAACAAAUCGCCAUUACUUUAACUUGAACAGCUGAAUAAAUUUGAAACAAGUGUGUUCGUGUGGGUAUAAUUUUCCAAAAUGCUAGGAAGAAGUUCGGUUUUACUUAGGAACGCUGUUAAAGGACUAGUUAGAAAUCAUCACGGCGGCGUUCCGGGAGAGAAUUUACCUUUCGAAGUGGGCAAUAAGUAUAAACUUACUGCUAUCUUCAUAGUCUUCUUCGGAUCAGGUUUAGGCCUUCCAUUCCUUGCAUUACGGCAUCAGUUGUUGAAGCAGCAGUAGGCGUACAAUACGCCUGUGUUAUUUUAGUGAGCGGUUAGUUUACAAUUAUAAGUACAUCUGUACCUUUUUGUUAAUAGAAAAUAAAAUCAUGUAAUGACCUAUGUUUGGAUCGUCAGAGAAUUAAACAGAAAAUGCACUUAUUUAGCAAAAAGGAAUAAACAUAA